CAGUUUCGACUUGCUGAGGACUAAUGAAAUGAAUAUGCGUGUCGACAGCACCUGCUGUUGCGAUGAGUCCUUCACCUGCAUAGACUUCCGUUCCUACACCGAUAAUCAUAUCCUGAUCUACACCAUCCAUCGUAAGCGGAUUUCCUGCUUUUCCGACUCCGAUGAUACGGCCAUCUUUAAUACCAAUAUCUGCUUUUACAAUACCUGUAUGGUCAAUAAUCAUAACGUUGGUAAUGACUGUAUCGAGAACACCUUCAGCGCGGACAUUUUUUCCAUUUUGACCCAUCGAUACGCGAAG
rnacentral:sRNA from 1 species